rnacentral:rRNA from 1 species
UACGGAGGGUGCAAGCGUUAAUCGGAAUUACUGGGCGUAAAGCGUGCGCAGGCGGUUUGUUAAGUCCGCUGUGAAAUCCCCGAGCUCAACUUGGGAAUUGCAGUGGAUACUGGCAAGCUGGAGUAUGGUAGAGGAAGGUGGAAUUCCCGGUGUAGCAGUGAAAUGCGUAGAGAUCGGGAGGAACACCAGUGGCGAAGGCGGCCUUCUGGACCAAUACUGACGCUCAUGCACGAAAGCGUGGGGAGCGAACAGG